rnacentral:rRNA from 1 species
UAGGGAAUCUUCGGCAAUGGGCGAAAGCCUGACCCAGCGACGCCGCGUGAGUGAAGACGGCCUUCGGGUUGUAAACUUCUUUUGUAUGGGAAGAAGGACGUGACGGUACCAUACGAAUACGUCCCGGCUAACUACGUGCCAGCAGCCGCGGUAAUACGUAGGUGGCGAGCGUUAUCCGGAAUUAUUGGGCGUAAAGAGCGUGUAGGUGGUUUUGUAAGUCGGAUGUGAAAGCCCUGGGCUUAACCUAGGAAGUGCAUCCGAAACUACAUGGCUAGAGGACGGCAGAGGGAAGUGGAAUUCCUAGUGUAGAGGUGAAAUUCGUAGAUAUUAGGAGGAAUACCGGUGGCGAAGGCGGCUUCCUGGACCGUUCCUGACACUGAGACGCGAAAGCGUGGGUAGCAAACA